UGACCCCUGCCGUGUUCGUGAUUGGAAGAUGCUCUUUGAUCUAACAUCACAUAAAAGGGAGCCUUCUCUGGUUUUGGUGUGCAGGUUCUGCCGGGACAGAAAAGCCUGAAGAAAUCAUACGAGGUGCCCACAAUGAAAUUAUUAAGUUCAAAGAUCUGCCAACACGGCAUGGCGGGGGUUUU
rnacentral:other from 1 species